UCUGGGAUGGAGUGGGCUAGGAACUGGAGGGGGUGAUGAAAUACCUUUGGUACCUGGCAAAUCUGAACUUGAAGCCUUGAAAACAGUAUUUUGGUCCUAGAUCGGUAGACUGACAUGCUGGAAGAAACAGUAGAUUAGAUAUUUAUAAACUGUUAAAUACAGAAUAAAGUACAACUGCUUUUUUUUAACACUUAAUUGGUUCUAGAAGUUGAAUACAUCAUACUAGUGAAUUACAAGACUAUAAAAUAUCUUUCAAGGUAUGAGUUAGUGGGUUUUGUCUCUAAAUUAUCUGUUUUCUACACUCCUUUGUUUCUAAUCAAAUGAUUUACAUGUUAUUUAUCUCAAUGUUUUUAGGUUAUUUCUUUGUUAUUCUGUGCUUCACUUUUUCAUAUGGAUUGCUUACACUUUUAAAUCUGAUGAAUCUGCCUUUAAAAAUUUGAAGUUAUAUGAUAAAAGACAUCUCCACAAGCAUGAAGGAACAGAGAGGCAUGACGGCGAGUAGGGAACCCCAGUGUCUCAGAGAAAGGAUCCUCUGCCCUAGCCCAUCCCAGGGCUGUCCCACAAGUCCCAUGGCCUAGGGGUGUCUCCUAUCCUGUGAGUCAAUGGGAGCAGCUCUCUGGAGCACCCCUCGAAUGUGUCUGUGUGCGGUCAUGGCCUGGGGGUAUGGGACACAUGAUGGGUUGCAAGGGAAGGGCAUUUCAAGGUGCUCUAGCUCACAAGUAGGUUAAGUGCCUUGGGAGCCAAGUAUGUGUGUGCUGAGCACCUGAAAGGAGUUGGCUGCCGAGUGUCCAGAAGGUCCAGGACAGCUGCCAAAGAGACAGUGGGGCUCAGGGGGGUGGAACGGGGUGUGUCUGUUUGUGAUGCAACUGGAGACGGGAGGAUUCAGAGGUGAGUUACUAGGCAGACUAAGUAUCUCAGGCCAGUUACUGGAGGGGAGCACAGCGUGUGUUUCCCACUAGUGGACCUUCAACCUGAUCUGCUCAAGUGGAGAACAGGUAAUUUUCUCAUUCAGACACUUUGUGACAAAGGAAGAAGAGGAGAAAAUGUGAUGUUUGGAGGCUGUUUAAACACAAGCAGUUGAAAACUGUUGGCUUUUUCUUCAAAGUGAAUCUGCAGCACCAUAUGUGUAAAAUUCCCUUAGGAUUUUCUACCAUCGGAAAUUCAAAGAGAAGAGUAAUAGCCAUGCCAGCAAGGCUGAAGUGUUAACCCACAGACGUGUUGCAUCUUGAUCUUCUAUUGUUUCAUUUCCCAUUGAUUUCUCCUGUAGAUAUUUUCAGUCAAACUCUCUUAAUAAAAUCCAGACAAAAUAAUAUUGGACAUAUAAGUAUAUGUAAUAAUUAUAAAAAACUAUUAUAUGGCUAAGGUUUUGCUCUCUGUCUUAAAGUAUUUCCAUUUCUGAUGGGCAAAUUUGUAAAACAUAAGCAAUUUAUGAGAAGUUUAAAAUUUCUUAACACUUCAGCAGUAAACGAAGACUUGUUAUCAAUUGUAUUGCACUGAUACAUUUGCUCCAAAAAUAAAUUUAUUAUUUAAUGUGAAUGUUUCUUCAAGUAUGAAAUAUUCAAAAUUAAUAUUUGGGUUUAUAUAGAAGCAUAGAAAAUGUAAAAAUUAUAAAAAGUAUCUACUUUAGCUGACCAAUUAUACUGCCCUCAUUCAUGCAUGUAUUUUGAUUGAUUGCAUUGGUGCUUCUCAGCUGACUAAAUCCUCUGCAGUUUUAGCUGAACAGCACCAAACGGAUGGUAUUAUUUAUUUCAAAUCUUUGCCUAUACAUGUUAUUAAAACAAAACAAAACAAAACACAAAAACAAAACACCCAAACCCUGCUGCUUCUUCCUUUACAUUUAUUUAAAACUUCCAUAUUUUUGCUGAAGUAAUCACAGUGCCAGUUUCCUAAAACAUAAACAGAUAAAAAACUAAUACUGAAGGAUUUCCUCAGUAUGAUGUUAGCUGUGCAAGCUCGAUUUGAAAGCUGGUCCCUUGGGAUCUAUGCAAGGAACAAGUGCUGUACCGCAAAUAUACAAAUGUAUACUUUAUUUUUAUUUUAUAUUUCUAUAUAAUUAAAUAUAAAAGGGGAUGCUAUUUUUGUUUCAAGUCUAAUAUUAUGUAAUAAACUGAACAAACUAAUCAGCUAGUGAAUGGAAGUAUGCCAUCUUAUUUAAUCAUCUAAAUGGGUGCAUUUUAUUGCAGUCAAAGUACAGUUACUGUAAUUCUUUAUAUGCGUGUGCUUAAAUUAAAAUGCCAUGUGUUAUAAUUUGCUGGUGGUAUGAACGGGAAAAAAAGAUGCCGUAAGGUUUCCAAAACCUUACUUGUGAGUGUAGUGAUCAUUUCAAGAAGUUCUACACAAAAUUGCUUGGUCUUUUUGUCUGGCAUUUUCCAUUUAAUUCAGUGGAAGCUGUAUAGCUAAAAUCACACUGAAUUCAUUGCAAAUCUAGGGCAUGCUUAAGGGGCACUUCAUCUGAGCAAAGAAAUCAUUGCUUUGACUGUGGCUAUGUUAAGUGAGAGAUGGAAGUGAAUAGCUUUUAGUUUAUUGCUCAUUUGAAAGCUGGAGGGGAAAAUGGCCUUUGUCUACCUGCCGAGCUCUUCCCUUCCCCUGCCCAAACUUCCUAAAAAUGCUCAUUUGAAAUCUGGCAGCUGUUACCUUUGAUUUCUUUCAGUAGUUUUUCCUUUUUUUUAUUUUUUAGAUCACUUCAUUUUUUUUCUUUUGUUCCUGUAAUAAAUUCAAUCUAUUUUAAAAAUGUAAAAAGUAAAAACUAACGUGGUUUGAAACAGGCCCCAAAGAAGAAAUCACUUAAUGACAAUUUGAUACUUAAUUCAAAGUCUGAUCACUAAGGUGUAUUCCUGAGUUGCUUAGUUUCUGAUAUAUUUCUCAGGUUUUUUUAUAUAUGAACCUGUUCUUUUUCUUUGAGUAAAUUUUAAGUCCUACCAUUUUGUAUGUAUUAUAAUGACAUCUCAUUGCAGAUGCAGUCUAAGUGCACAUCAUAAUGUUAAAAAAAACCCAGUAAUUGUAGAUUGUAUUCUUUAAAUCUGUGAUAUUACACCUUGUUUUGUAAUUAAGUGAGGAAGAUGAAAUUAUGAAGUCUAUUGGUGCCUUCAACAAUAGUGCUUUUAAUGCAUUAAUUAGGUGCAUGUUUGCUCCAAGACCAGCAAAAAGAACAGAAAAUAUUUGCUGUUUUCAUUGGAGAGUAUUAAAUAACACAAGCUUUUCUUAAUGGAACUAAUAAUCUGUUUAUUGGUUUUGGUUUAUUGCUUUUUUAUUCUACUUUUUGUCUUCACGUUUAAUUGGGAUUUUUUUUGAGUUCCUGACUUCACCGCAUAUAUCAAGUAGGCAAUUCUUGGAGAUCUUGAGCAAUUGCUUUGGAGGGAGAGAUGGGAGUGGAGAGCAGAAUCAGUCUCCUAUUUUUUUCUUCAAAGCUGUGUUACAGUAACGUACUUUCCAUACUCAGCCAUUGUAAUUAAGUGUAGAGCUAAGUAAUCACAAAAUCUUGCAAAGUCCUGAAACUCAUUGCAAGAACAAAUGAAAAUACUCUCUGAACAGUGAGUGAGAUGCUGUUCUCAUGCUCAUCAUCUUCCUAGAUGAUGUGCCCAUUUAUACUUUGCCCAAGUAAAAGAAAUGUUACUCCCAUAGAGUUUUUAAUAGAUUUUUUUGUUUGAAAUUGAGGAACUACUAAUACCAAAGGCCAGAGACAGUUUUCCAAGAAUAGAAAAAAGCCAAUUUAGAUUAAUUCCAUCUCUGCUACUGCUCGAACUGGAUUCAGGUUUUAUUAGUGCAUGUGGAACUGAGGAGGCCUUGGCAAUAAUAAUAAGCACAUGUCUAAGGGAAAAGACUCUGCAGAAGUUAAACUUUGGGGUGGGUUUAGUAAUGAGUUCCCAGAUAGUGCACACUAACUGUUUUCUGCACUGUUCUUUCCUGCUGGAUUUUGAGAAAAUCAGGUAAAACCUUCCUGAUACUUAAAGCCCUUUGCUAAAUUAAAUAUAUUCUGAUUUUUGGAGUGGUUGGAUAUUUUAAGCUGGUUAUCUUGAAGCACUAUGCUUAAUUUGCUUUUGUUUUGUUUUCUACAAAGCACAAAAAUAGACAAUUAGUGGCAUCUCACAAAUAUAAUCUUCUUAUCCUUUUCCUGUCCUUCCUUUAUGAGUAGUGAAGAAAUACAUACUUUGGCUUUGUGAAGUAGAAUUGGUAUAAUCAACAUGGUGGUGCCUCAUUAAAAAUAAUUUGGUGUAACAUUCUUUACUUUAUGGGUUAUGUCUCAGGUGUCUGCAGGCAGAAUCCUCCUUGUAAUGAUAUUACAGACAGUUCUAUAAAUCAGAGUCCUACAAAACCAGAAGAAUCUGCUUCUGGCUGACUUAACAUCUCUUCUCCCAUUCUUUUUCCUUUGAGGGACCUCUCAGCUAAGUUCUGAUGCCAUUUUAGCUAUUGCAGUCUUGUAUCUAUCUAAAUUAAAAUGGCCACUGAAUAAACACGUUGCAAGGAUAUAAAAUAAGAUGUACACUUUGUGGCUGCUAGUUUUCUUUCAUUAAAAUGUUGACCAGUGAAAUAGAAAGUUGUAGCAAUGUAAUGAUUUCUACUCAAUAAAGAUGCUACUAUAGAUAAUGAUGCUGCCAGAUAAAUGUCAUUAGAGUAUCAGACAUUUUUCAAAACCAAAUGUCAGGCCUCAGUUGGCAUGCAUAUUGAUCCAAUAAAUUUGUUUUUCAUGAGUGUGGAAGGUGCCUAUUUUUGCAGUAAGGGUAAGCACGUUAAAAUGAUGGUUGUUUAGAAAGAUUAAUUUCUCUUUUUCCCUUCAAGAUUAAAGAACAUGGAUUGAAAUUAUGUGGUUCUAGACUCAGGAGAGCCCAUUCAUAUCUCUGUGCAGUGCAACCUUAUGUUGACAAUACAUACAUGAUGGGAGAAUUUGUAUAUGUAUGUAGGUUCGGAGUCAUGCUCGAAAUGCAGUGUCAAUGUAGCAAGACUUCCCUAUUGUAAAAGUAUGUGUCUUCCAUAAACCAUGACAUCCUCUGCUGGUCAGAGGUUUGAUUAAAAGCUGGUAGCUUGUGGUUUGUGAAUCUCUGUGAUGAUAGUUUUUAAUUAAUGUGCAUUACAAAGUACUCUCUGAAAUAAUAGUGGUACAGAACUGACAGUCUUGGUUGAAAAAGUUAUUGGAUUAAUUCUGGUAAUUUCAUAAUCCGAUAAAUUUGAGUUAAGCACAGAAAAACCUUUCUUCAUAGUGUGACUUAAAUACCUGUAAGGCCCUGUCCAUGUUAUAAGACAUUUUUAGGCAAGGAUUAUCUUCCUUGCAGAACAGCUUUAUUUCAUAUUAGUUCACUUAAGUGUUUUCAGAGGUCCUCAUACAGUUUCGAGGAAGACCAUUGAAAGUUCUCUAGACCUCUAUGUAAGAAUGGUGUAUGUAUGAAUUACUGUACAGGACCCUAGUUUGCUGCAUAAUUGAUCUCUGUUUCAAAAGAAUUGUGAUCGACAAGGCACAGUAUAUGCUUGAUUUCCAUGAGCUUUUGUUGAAUGAUAUUGCUAUAUAAAAUUAAGUUUUGAAAGGUACACCGAGCUCAUUUUUUAAGUCUGUCUCCGUUUAAACAAAAGUAACAAAUAACUGCUUCAAUCAUUUUGGCUUAUUCAAGACAAGAAAAAGACAAAACUAGUUUAGCACGUAGCUGAGCUGUUUUUGUCUUUGGUGUGGUUUGGCAGGAUGGGUUUUUGUUUGUUUGUUUGUUUUUGUAGUGGCAUUAUAAUGUUACAAAAAAAAGCUUUCCUUGGAGGCAAAAUUUAGUUUAGGCAAACUACUUUGCUGAAAGUGGCCAUACUUCUAACUCUUUUCAAUAUAUGGUGUAAACUGUAAGUAGGUGAUUGCAUCUUUGGGAAACAUUUGAUAAGAGUUAAUAAUUUAAUGAGGGGACAUGUAUUCGAUAUGUUUAGAAAAUUACAAUUGCCAUACCAUUUGCGUAUACCUCACAGUAGUAUCAAUUUGAGGUGUUAAUGCUUCCUGUUAAAAGAGGAAAUCAAGGAACUGCCCACAUUGCCUGAUGCUUGAAAUCUCAGGACAUGAAGAGCAUCUGGCUAGAGAAUGUAGCUGCAGGAUGUCAUGGCCUGUAGUCAGAAGAAAACUCGGUGAAGAGAAGUCUUGUAAUCCAUUCUGAUUGUUGCCAAGUUUGCUCUUGAAUUCAUUCCUGCCAGUAGCAAAUCCCAGAGAUAUGUAUCAUCUGCCAAGAAUUCUCCCCUCCUGGCUGCAGAAAAUGCAAUGCUUGGAACUGCCAAACACUUUGUGUGGUUGGGUUAGAGACAGGUAGACAGUUGGUCUUUUAAAAGACAUGGCAUCCAGGCAAUUUGCAAUUGUAUUGACUGCACAGCACUGGGUAUUUCACAUAGAACAUGUAUUGAUGACUGUCACAGAGCAGCAGCACAGCAUAAAACACGCAUUGCAUUUUUACCUCCCACACAUACCGUGUUACAGAUAGCAUGAUACAGUUUUUACAACGAAGUCCUAGGCUUGAACAUCAGAAGUCACAUUUCACUGACUUUUGUGUGUACUAAAAAAAACAACCAAAGAAACAACAAAAAAAAUCCCACAUAUACAGAUAUGAUGCAGUCUUUUCACAUUUUGUCAUUUAAAAAAAAAUUAUGUAUAGAUCUAGGCUGAACAAAUUCAUUUUUUCUGUCAACAUUUUAUCACGCCAAACAACAAACGUCUGUCAGACUUCCUUAUCAAUCAUAAAUGCUGUGAGGUUCAGGGCCCUCAAAGAGUACUUGCCAAAGAUGGAGUGAUGCUUGAUUUUUUCACUUACUGCCUUCCUUCCCAAAGCAGAGGAGACAGAUUUGGCUUUAGUGAGCAGAGCAAAAAAUGUGAAGUAUAAAAGCAUUACGUGGAAGCUAUCAUUAUAUUUGGGCAAUGCUUUUUAUUGUAAAUUUGGCUGUAUUUUAACUAUAUUCAAAAUGCUUUAUAAAACACUUCUAAAUGUAAAUAUUAAAUGUCAAUAUGUGGAUACAAGUGUGGACUACUUCUCCUUAAAUACCCUCUUUAGCAACAAAACUAGUAGUCUAUUUGGCAGUGAUAACCACUUUGCUAAGUUAACUUUAAAUAGUAUUGCUAUUUCUUCAUUUGUCAUAGAAAUGUUAUCUUCCUGAAUAGCAGCUGAGUUAUUUAUUAAGGAGCAGAUAAAAUUUAGAUUAACAAAACAACAUACCUGGCACUCCUGUAGUUAAGGAGGCUGUGAAUAGUGCAUGAUAAGCAGAACUUGAAUUCCUUGACAUUAAGAUAAAAAAAAAAAAAUCAAAGAUUGUUGUCAGUGUUAUGCUCUUUCAGUAAACAGGACACAUUUUAAUUAGGUACCUGAACUUUAUCUUAUGUUCAGCUCAGAUUGGCUUGUAAAUUUUUUUUGUUGUUGUUCUACAGUGCCUUAUCCUUCUUUUGGGAAAACUUGCAAACUUCUCUCUGUUGAUGAUUAGAACUUCAGUGUGGAGCUGGGUCGGUCUUAUCUAGGUUAAAGUGUUACAUCCUCAGCAGAAGACAUUAGUGCGGUUGAGAGGGGAAUGGUUUUUCAUUCUGCAGAGCCUACAAGAUUCAGUCUGACAGAAACUGGGAAGCCACCUUGCAGUGUAUUAUCUAGCUGGUAGGAAGUAAAGAGCCCUAGGCCUUGUAAGAAACAGCAGGUACAAUGUGAAUUUUCUUGCUUUGAGAUUCGCCUCAGACAGGCAAGAGCAAGUUGCUUUGCCUUGUCUGCUUUUCUUUGCUCCUCAAAAUAGCCUGACAGAACAGCCCUCAUCAAGGCACUCCUUGCAGCUCCUGGCCCUCCUGACCUUAGACUCUGUUUUCCAAAACUCCAUGCCUUGCUUUUGCUCCCCUUACUGAUACCUUUGAAGUCAUCAUUUGUUGUGUUCCUUUUCCUCUAAGUCAUGGUCUAGUGUAUAACCUCAGUGUUUAGUUUGACAGGGCUGCUAUAACAUUGACUGUCAUUCUACUCAGCAACUGUAGAGGAAGAUACCAAAAAAGUAACAUCAUAAAAUUAUGCUCGCAUGAUUUAGAAUAAAUGAAUGUAUGCAAGCUGGGUUGAAUGGCUGUUGAUUUAGUGUUACAAUGUGGAUUUUUUUGUGGUCAAGGUCAUUACUUUCUUUUUAUUGAUCAUUUGCUUUUUAGUCACCAAACAAAGAAUAUAUUUGAACAACCUUUGCUUUUGCGUGUGAUUAAUGUGUGUCUGGAAUAAUUUGCAAUGAAAUGCUUCAAUAUAUAUCCAUACCCAGUAUUAAUUUUAGAACCUGUGUUAAAAUGGCCUUAAACUUACUGAUAUGUAAAAGAAAUUAAGAAGUAAUAGUGAAAAUGAAGAUGAAACAACAAAAAUUACCUGAUCUUGAGUAAAGACUGUAUAAUAUGCAGUUCAUUUGUGCUGGAUAACAUUUUCAGAAUCACAACAGAAGUCUGAAUGACAUAGAUGUUAAAAAUACAGCAUCCAUAGUCUUAUGGUCAGCCCUGCCCCCCAUACUGUUACCUCUUUUGAAAGAAGUAGUGUAGGAUAAAUCAACAAUCAGAAUGGCUUGUGUACUAUUAAUGCUAUGAGAAAAGUAAAGGACUUUUGAGUAUAGUAGUGGCAAGCUUAGAAACACAUCUGCAAUACAAAAUAUUUUCAGCAUGCCUUAAAUGGAAGAAUCUUGUUGGAGCCAAAAGUUUGACCUUUAGACAGAAGUAGAAGUGAGGCUCCUUACUCAUUUUGGAAUUGAGGUACAAAUUUCUUUAACUCUUGUCUUGUAAGAACGUCUACACAUUUUUCUUUGGGGAAAGUGUGUUUUUUAGAGAGAAACUCAUCUGCUGUAAGACUUUUUUUACACCUGCUACCUUUGCAUGAAGUUGAUCAAUAAGUUUAUUACUGAGUUUAUUUGAAGAGCACCAGUGACAAAACUAGUUGUAAGAACUUUCUUUUUUUUUAAGAUAUUGAAAUGUUAUUGAGUGUGAUCAACUUGCAUCCUGUAUUUUAGCUGUUCAUUUAAUUUUAUAUACAUAUAUAUACGUAAGAAUAUAUGUAAUGUGCAUCUAAAGCAUUCAGCAGUUUUGUUCAUGGAGAGCUGCUUGUUUCCAGCCUGGGAAAAGAAUGGUGCUUUUCCUAAGAGGAACUUUUGCAUUUGGUUGAAGAUAGUUGUAGCUAGUCCUAAAAGACUGCAUUCUAGAUUCAGCUUAUUCAGAAUAUAAAGUACUUCCAUCAGAGUACUGGGAAGACCAAAUAAUGAGAGGUGGCAGACAGUCAUCACCAUUAAUCGUUAGCUUGGUAAGGUGAUGAAAAUCUUAUGCAUCUGCUACAUAGAUGCCAAGAAGAACAGGAACAGCUGCCUACUUUCCAUACCUUGGCUCAGCUAAAAUACAACAGCAGGAAUGAGUGAGUUUCAGAAAGUCUCUGUUUCUAAAGUAUUGGAGUGUUUAUUUUCCAAUUUUAAGGAAGAAAAAAUUACUAGAGGUGAGAAAGCAUGGAGUGCUCAUCUGCUACCUAAAGGGAUAGAUCCAACCUAGAAAUUGUUGUAGGUUCUGGAUUUUGUCACUUUAUUUUAUUUUUUUUUUUUAAUUUUAUUUUAUUUACCCUCUGGAACUCUAGGAAAAUGGAGGCAAGAAUCAAGGGGGGCAAGACUCCAACGUUGGAAAAGCCAACGAGAUCCUCGUGAUCUCCCACUUUUAUAUGAAGUAUUCACGUGAAUGGAAUGUUAUACACAGUUGGUCAGUUUCUUGCUCACUUGUUUCUCGUCGCCCCUCUCGCGAGAUGUCCAUCUGUGCUUAUCAAUAAGUUUGCAUUCCAUUGCUAGGUUUACCAAAACAUGUGUCUGGUUCUCCAGGAAAAUGCAGAUAAUAUGAAGGCUUUAGCUGACAGGCAAAUUCACUGAAAGAGAUACUUGUUUUUAACAAAACCAGGACAGACUCUUAGAGGGCUCUCAGAGCCAAAGGUUGAAGAGCUAAGUCAGAACUAAUAAGGUGGUCAGAAUUAGUCUGCACUUGAGAGUGUGUAUGUGUUUAUACAUUAAUUCAUACAUGCAUGCAUAUAUAUGCAUGUAAUACAAAAUUAGGAAAAAUAACAGCCCCUAUGAAAAGCUGCAAAUCCAUAAUCUGGGUUUCUUGUAUUGCCAAUGUCAUAGCUCAGAGGAGGAAAAGGGUCAAGUUGGCACAGAAUCAUUAACCAGUUUGGGUUGGAAGGAACCUUAAAUAUCAUCUAGUCCAACCCCUCUGCCAUGGGCAGGGACACCUCCCACUAGACCAGGUUGCUCAAAGCUCCAUCCAGCCUGGCCUUGAACACUGCUGGGGAUGGGGCAUCCACAGCUUCUCUGGGCAAUCUGCUUCAGUGCCUCACCACCCUCACAGAGAAAAAUUUCUUCCUUCUGGCCAAUCUAAAUCUACUCUCUUCCAGUUUAAAACUGCCGCCCCUUCCCUGUCACUACAGGCUCUCAUAAAAAAGUCUCUCUCCCUCUUUCUUAUAAGCCCUCUAUGUACUGAAAGGCUGGAAUAGGGUUUUCCCAAAGCCUUCUCUUCUCCAGAUUGAACCACACCAACUCUCUCAGACUUUCUCCAUAAAAGGAUGUGUUAAUUAUAACAAUGUUUGACAAAUUUUGCAUGCAUGAUGAUUUUGGACAAUGCUUUUCUUUUCUCCAAUAGUGAUUCAAAUAGCUGGUCAACUGUACCAAUUUUAGUUUCUUCUUUAAAAUAAUUAUAGCUACCAAAUCUUCAGUCACAUGUAAUUUAAGUAGAAAUUUUUUGAAAUGAAAAUAUAAAAUAUUUUUUAAUUGGAGUAAUAUCAGUUGGAGAUCUUUUUUUAAAAACUAACUAUAUUAAGUAAGUAAAUAUUUGUAAAAACUACAGUACAUAUUUAACUUUUAUGUUUAUAUUGUUAAAAGAAAAGCCUGGAUAGCGAAAACAAAUGCUUCACAGAAUCACAGAAUGUCAGGAGUUGGAAGGGACCCCGAAAGGUCAUCUAGUCCAAUCCCCCUGCUGGAACAGGAACACUUAGAUGAGGUUACACAGCAAGGCAUCCAGGUGGGUUUUGAAUGUCUCCAAAGUAGGAGACUACAUAACCCCCCUAGGCAGCCUGUUCCAGUGUUCUGUCACCCUUAUUGAGAAGAAGUUUCUUCUCAAAUUUAAGUGGAACCUUUUGUGUUCCAUUUUGAACCCCUUGUCCUAUCAUUAGCUGUCACCGAGAAGAGCAUGGCUCCAUCCUCGUGACACUCACCCUUUACAUAUCUGUAAACAGUAAUGAGGUCACCCCUCAGUCUCCUCUUCUCCAAGCUAAAGAGACCCAGCUCCCUCAGCCUUUCUUCAUAAGGGAGAUGCUCCACUCCCUUAAUCAUCUUGGUUGCCCCACGCUGGACUCUCUCCAGCAGUUCCCUGUCCUUCUUGAACUGAGGGGCCCAGAACUGGACACAGUAUUCCAGAUGUGGUCUCACCAGUGCAGAGUAGAGGGGAAGGAGAACCUCUCUCAACCUACUAACCACCCUCCUUCUAAUACACCCCAGGAUGCCACUGGCCUUCCUGGCCACAAGGGCACAAUGCUGGUUCAUGGUCAUCUUGCUGUCCACCAGGACCCCCAGGUCCCUUUCCCCUACACUGCUCUCUAACAGGUCAUUCUCCAACUUAUACUGGAACCUGGGGUUGUUCCUGCCCAGAUGUAAGACUCUACACUUUCCCUUGUUAUAUUUCAUUAAAUUUUUCCCUGCCCAACUCUCCAGCCUGUCCAGGUCUUGCUGGAUGGCAGCACAGCCUUCUGGCAUGUCAGCCACUCCUCCCAGCUUCGUGUCAUCAGCAAACUUGCUGAUAGUGCACUCUAUUCCCUUGUCCAAAUAAUUGAUGAAUAUAUUGAAUAAUAUAGGCCCCAGUACUGACCCUUGAGGCACUCCACUAGAUACAGGCCUCCAGCUGCCCCAUUGACCACGACUCUGGUUUCUUCCCUUCAGCCAUUUUGCAGUCCACCUCACUACCCAGUCAUCCAGACCGCACUCCCUCAGUUUCGCUAUAAGGAUGCUAUGGGAGACUGUGUCAAAUGCCUUACUCAAGUCAAGGUAGACCACGCCCACCGCUCUGCCAUAAUCCAUCCAUCUUGUUAUGUCCUCAUAAAAGUCAAUGAGAUUGGUCAAGCACGACUUCCCUUUGGUGAAGCCAUGUUGACUGUCCCUAAUGACCCUCUUAUCCCUGAUAUGCCUUGAGAUGGCACCAAGGAUAAGUCAUUCCAUCAGUUUCCCAGGGAUGGAGGUGAGGCUGACUGGUCUAUAGUUACCCGGGUCCUCCUUCUUGCCCUUUUGUGAAGACUGGAGGGACAUUUGCUUUCCUCCAGUCCUCAAGCACCUCUCCCGUUUGCCAAGACUUGGCAAAGAUGAUGGAGACUGGUCCAGCAAUGACCUCAGCCAGCUCCCUCAGCACCCGUGGGUGCAUCCCAUCCGGCCCCAUGGAUUUAUGGAUGUUGAGAUUUCCUAACUGCUCCCUAACCCAGUCCUCAUCAACCAAGGCAGACUACUCCAUUGUCCUGCCUUCCUCUGUGGCCUCAGCAGUACGGGGCUCCUCAGGACAACCUCCAGCAGAGUAGACAGAGACAAAGAAGGCAUUCAGUAGCUCUGCCUUCUCUGUAUCUUCUGUCACCAGGGCACCCACCUUGUUCAUCAGUGGGCCUACAUUGCCUCUGGUGUUAGUUUUAUCUGCCACGUAUUUGAAAAAGCUCUCCCUGUUGUUCUUGACCCCUCUCGCCAGGUUUAAUUCUAAGGAGGCCUUAGCUUUCCUAGUUGCCUCCCUACACCCUCUGACAACAGCCUCAUAUUCUCCCCAAGUGGCCAGCCCCUCCUUUCAUGAUCUAUAAACUCUCCUCUUCCACUUGAGCAUACCCAGCAGUUCCCUGUUUAACCACGCAGGUCUCCUGGCUUCCUUCCUUGACUUCCUACGUGUCAGGAUGCUCUGAUCUUGUGCCUGGUAGAAACAGUCCCUGAACACUAACCAACUGUCUUGGGCCCCUUUACCUUCAAGCAGCCUUGCCCAUGGGAUUUCCCCCAGCAAUUGUCUGAAAAGGCCAAAGUUUGCCUUGCUGAAAUCCAGGGUUGCAAUUCUGCUUGCUAUCCUGCUCCUGCCACAUGAGAUCCUGAACUUCACCAUCUCAUGGUCGCUGCAACCAAGGCAGCCCUCAGCCUUUACUGCUUCAACCAGACCCUCCUUGUUAGUGAGGAUGAGGUCCAGCAGUGCUUAAUAGUAUCCUGUAUUUUUUUUUAAGUAUAUAAGCCAAUUACUUGCUUCUAAUUUAUUGAUGAUAUUAAGCAGCAUAGCUAUGGCCAUGAUCAGAAUGAAAUCUGAUUAUGUGAAUUAUUUUUGCAGGUGGCAGCUUGAAAUGGGGUCAAAACGUUAUGCUCUCAGCCAUAAUAAAAUCUCUUCCUCUUGGCAAGCCAUCCUGGUGGUAUUGCUGAAUAGUUGAAGAAUGAAUGGUAGCAGACAAAGUAAUAUAAGAAAAUAAUAGAAAGCCAAGUGAAGCCAGAACAUUAAGUGAAGCCCAUUGCACAUUGUGAAUGGUGGCCGUGCUGGGCUUCCCGCUAGACUCCUGCUGUAACGGCAUUUAUAUAGCUGAGAGCUUUUCCCUCUGGUCAGAACAGAAGAAAAGACCGUGUUUUGAGAGUAGGUACCCCAACUUACAAAAUUUUUUUUCCCCUCAAAGUCACUUAAAACUCUGUGGAAGUACAAAGAGGGAUGUCUGUUUGUUGUGAGACUGACUGGGUUGUUAGAAUGCUGCAGAUUUACUGUAUAACUGAAGUAGAAUUGGGAGAUGGAAUCACUGCCAAAUUCUAAUCAGGCUGGGAUCAUAAACUUCUUUGAAACACUUUCCCUCCAUUUUCCACCUUUUUUUUUUUUUUUUUAUACAAUGAUGCUUUAAUGAAUUAAUGAUGCAUGUGUGGUUCUUUAUCUUAUUAGUACUGCAUGUGUGUACUGUAAAUGGCAGCUUAGGUGGCAAAGCCAGGGGAACAGUAUGUUUUGGUCCACUGCUAUCCAAAAUGCCACUGUAUCCUGUCUAAAGAGAGACAGAACAAACUGCAUCUGCCCAGUUUGUUUGUGUUUUUAUAUUCUGUAAAUACAUGCUAGGUGAAAAGUUGAAAUCCUGGUUCUCAUUCAAAAGAACUGUAUUUGAGAGGCAGUUUGCUAAGAUGCCUCCAUUUAUUUUUAAUUGAAGUGCAUGUCUUGCAAGAGUUAUUCUUUUUGUGCAAGCUUGAAAGAGACAUGAUGACAUUUAAACCAAUAGAAUAUAUGAAAUUUUAAGAAUGUUACUCUUAAUACCUUUUUUCUUUUUUUCUUGUCUUUUUUAUUUUCUCCCCCGUUAUUUUCACCUUUUGAAAGGGAUGCGUGUGAAUAUGUCCUUCUAUACUUGCUUCCAGUUCAGGAUGCAGCUUUUGAAUUGUGUUCUUCUGCCUUUGGUAGUGCAGUUAUAAAUCUGGUGCUUUUUCGUGAGAAAUUACAAUUUUAACUUAACAUCCUCUGUCACGGAGUACUACUCUUUUUAUAUUGUCAGUCAGAAAUUGAUGCAAAGUAGCCAUAUCUGUUCAGGCCCUCAUUGACUUACCGACAUAGAGGUAGUUUAAAAAAUGUUGCUAGCUAUACCUUCCAUUAAUCACAUUAUUUAGAUUACAGGUGCGUUUUCCCUCCUCUUCAAUGACUGAUAGCCAUCUUCCUGGAACAUCUGUAUCACCCUUUCUUCUAUUUUAUGUCAGCAUUGAAAUUAGUUUCUUCUAGUUGAUCCUAUCAAAAGAAGAUAAAUUGGACAAAGAUAAACUGGAGGUAAACUUUCAGUAUGUCCACUGACAUUUUAAUGUUACUGGAAAAAGAUGCCUUUGUAACACUGUCCAUGAAGUCCAAUGCAUAACUGUAUUUUAACAGCCUGUGAACCGUGUACCUUGUAAGGGCUCUGAUGGCAGACGUUACCAAGUGGCACAGCUGUACAGAGCCUAAAAAUUGUCUUCAUGAGGAAGGAAACCUGACUGAUGGGAGAUGUUUUAUUUUGGUUUUAAAUGCUGCUCGGCUGCAUGUUUCUGUUGUUGCAAAUUACCCUGCAGAAAAUGUGACUAUGUCUUGCUGGUUUGUGUAGUGGCCAAGUGACAGACAGCUUUAUGAACCCAGUCUGGCUAAUCUUGUGGUAAGAAUGAAUUUUGUCCAGCAUUUGUAACUAUAUCUCUCCUCACACUGGUGCAGAAAUUUACAUAAACCAAACUAUUCUUAAGAUAUACUAAAAUCUGAUGAUAUUUGUUUGUUUGUUAGAAUUCUGUGCCAGACCUUAAGGUAUAUUUUUGAUCUGUAGAAAAGAGACGUCCUAAUCCAUGUUUAAAUUUUUGAUUCAUCAUUUGCUUCAUUUGAAUGCAAUAGACAUGACCAAUCUAUUUUUUUUUUCCUCUGCUCCCUGUCCCCCCACCCCAUUUUCACUUGACAUCUGUUCUGUGUGAGUACUGGAUUGUCAGUGGCUUCUUUUGAGCUUAGGGCAGGAGUAUUCAGGAAUAUUUUUCUGUUACAGAAAAACUGCGGUAAAGUUUAUUCUGCACGUGAAUAGUAAAAAUCUGUGCCUAGUGUAAGUGCUGUUUCAUAUCAGCUUAAGAAGAUUGUUAGCAUAUAUGCCUGAAGUAUCAGAACCUGGUGUUAUGUGGAGGUGAUCCUCACCAUGGCCAUAUAAAUGUAAAAGCUUAACCAGUGCAGGGCUCAAGUAAUUCCCUUGAUGCCGAUGUGCUUCAGCUUGUUAGACACCUGCCUUGUUCUGCUUUGAGUUACAGCAUUGGAAAGCCUUUUUUGUAAACAUGCAUAUUAAAUCAACAGUCUAAGCCACCCUUGGAAAUGGAGGUUGAGAGGUACCUGUUCUGUUCUGAAUGGGAACGUGUGCCCAGAGCAUAUCAUCUCAGCUCUGCACCAUCGGCUUCUGCUGGCGUGGUGGCUGCCCCGUCACAACAGGUACGGAGUGGGGGCAGGAGGAGAGCAGGGGAAUUAAGAAAGAGAGAAGGAAAUACUGUCAGCUCCUCUUCCUCAUCAGCAGAUCAAGUAAGCAGAAAUGCAAAAUGAAAACAGAAGAGAAGGUUGCAUGCCCUUCAGCAGAGGUUAGGGAUUUAUUAUUUCAAUUUGGACAAAAAUUAAAUCACAAGAGUAUGUGUACUUCAGACAUGCAGUUCAGAUUUCUUGUGCACAGUCUUGAAUUCGCAUUACUAAGAAAGCAGUUCUGUAGGUACCAUUAUCAUGUGCUUACAUUUUAUCUUUUACCUAUAAUUUCAUAAGAUUUUUAUCCUCUAGCAGAACUGGCAUAGGCUGUUACGCACAGAGUACAGGAUUUCUAAUCUCAUGGAAUAAAUUCACAGACAGUUUUGUAAAAGCUGAAAUACAAAUUUAUUCAAACUAGCUUAGUGAAGCAAAUUUUGGGGUUUCUGCUGGAAAGAGAACAUCUUGUACAUCAGAGAACCAAAUUAUGUAUCUGAUUAUUUUAGAAUUUGCAUAGAAAUAAGAAAUUAUGCAGAAAUCAAAACAUAAUGUUCAUUGGAGUCUGGACAAGGGCAGUAAGGAGACUUGGAGUUGCACAGAGCAGAAAAUGAAAGCAAAAUCUCUGAUUUAUUCUACUUCUAUUGAGAUUAUGUCUAAAGAAAGAUUGUUUUUUCUUUUCCCCUCCCCUCUCCCCUUUUGCAUAUGUUUGUGAAAGGGAGCAUUGCUGUCCAUUGUAUGUGAGACAGUGCCCUUUAAAUAUCAGGGAUAGUACUGAAAGACACAUAACUCAUCAAUUUUGAAGUUGUUUUUUAAUGCAUUUUUACCUUCCUGAAAUGUUUGUCUAUGCUUGCACCUAUAAGCAAUGCUGAAGUGGAUAUUAAGAUGAGUAGGACUCUAUUUCUGUUUUUCUUGAAACACAGAUCAUGGAUAAAGUUUAUGCUAAGGGAAAAUAGCAAGCUGUUAGCCUAUAAAAGUAUCUAUAGUUAUAUAAAACAUGGAUAGCAUAUAUUCUCUUGUUCACUUAUAGACAAAGAGUAAGAGAGCAGUGCGAGAGAAACUUUAAAGCCACCCACCGUUGUAGUAUUAUAACAUCAGUGAAAUAUUUUAGAAAAAAUUAUUAAAGUCGAACUAGACAUGAUUUUGUAACUUUGCUUGUGCCAUUCUGAACCGAAUGAACAGUAUGAUACUUGCCUUUGAGUUUCAUAGGAGAAAAAUGAGACAGGCUCUCUGAAUUAAUUUUAACCAUGCUGAAACUUAUUUCUGGGGAUAAGUACAAAAUACGUAAAUCUUUUUUUUGGAAAUCAUUUUUAUGUCUUGCUGUCACUUGAUUUGACUUGACUUAUGGAUGUUAGGUGAUCUUACAGAUGUUAGAUAAGCUUAUGCAUAAACAGAGAUGAUGCAGAAGAAGGUACAAUGGUGAAGGGAGAGGCAUUAAUUGCUCAAGUGAAAACAAUGAGGAGAAUUCUGUGGAAAGGUAUAUAGGAAGGGCAAAUGUAUGUGGGCCUUUGAAUAAGGUAAUUAACAACUGUGAAUGUAAGAUAGGCAUAAUGAAGUAACAAGCCAUUUAGAAAGGGGUUGCUUGUCCUCCAUACUUCAGAAGUAUUCUGAAAUAAAUAUAGGAGGAUGAGAAAGGUAAGCAUCAGAUGUGGAAAAUGGAAGGUGUGAUAGGUAGGUCUAUGUAUGAGCUCUCAUUUGUUGAAAUGGAAAGCAAAUGACAGAUUAUAGUGAUGCUGUGAAGCAGAUCUAAAUGGCAGCCCCAACUCUGUACACUUACAGGGACUUGGGACAGUGUAGUUGAACUUGCAGUGGUGAAGCUCUAAAUAGGCUGGAACAUCCCCAUGGGUGAAAAACUUAGAAAGAAAUCUUUGCUGAAAGCCUUUGAGGAUCUCCCUUGUUCUCUGGGUUGAGUCCCAGAUGGCUGUGAAACAUUUAAAAAAUGACUAAUUAGAACAAACCAGAUUAACUCUUUGUGUUAAGGACAACUUUGUACUUUAAAUGUUUGUGUAAACCUAGUUGAGGAUGAAAAUUUAUCAGAUUUGAGUGUAAGGCACAGCCAGGGCUGUCAGAUCAUAAAAGGGCAUCAUGCAGCUAAGAAGGGACUAUUAGCCUACAAGCUUAUAAUGGACUCCUUCAUAAAGCAAAUUACCUGUUGACAUUGGUACAGCUAAAUCAUUAGAAAGUAAAAAUAUGGCUGCAGUUCACAAACACAGGUUCGUAACAGGCAGAACAUGGGAUUGCUGUGAAACAAGGAAUUGCUGGUUAAAGAUCAAAAGCAGAAAGGAAUGUGUAUUAAAAAAAGGGGGAAGAAGAAACCAAGCAACCAUGAAGUAAUAAUAGAGAGGCCUUUCUAAAAAGAGGAAAUUAUUCUUGUAAAGUAUAAAAUAAUCAGUGAAUAUUAUUUCAUUCCAGCUAUAGGACAGAGGUAUAAAUUUGUGCUAAUUAAAAAACAAAAAAGGCAAGCUUCUUUACUGGUAAUGUAUGUAAAAGGUACCUUUGAAAAUGGAAUUUUGUGCAGAUUAUGUGACUCAUCUAUAUCCCCUUGGUGUGAAAGAGCAUGGGGAAAAAAAAUAAUUUCUUUAUAUCAGUCUUAGUGAUGAAGAAAAUGGAAAUACUAGGAUUGCACUAAACAAGCCAGAAGUAUUUUUCUAUAGAUAGCUGAAAUAGCAUUACAAAGUGAUUUAAAAAGAUGGACCCAAUUUCAAAGGGCAGUGGUUUCAAACUGGGUCCAUCUUUUUGAAACACCCUGUGUUAUGUGCUGUAUUUUACCAGAUCUUCUUCACAACUGUGUAAAAGUGCUAAAUCUUUCAAAAUAUUUAAUCGAAACACUAGGCUUUGCAGCUGUUAAUUAUUUUCAUUGAGAAGACGCUUAGAGAUUAAAUAUUCCUUGAAGAGGAAUGAAUGAAAACUAGCAUGCUUUUAGUAAAGGUAAGUGAGGUUCUCACUGGAUAGUGAAUGAUAAUGGUGGAUGUCUACCCAACACACCACAGCUAAACAUUUCCCUAAGAAAAUACUUAGCAUGAUAAACAUUUUGGAAUCAAAGCAAAUCCCAAAGCUUUUGUGGAAAUGGAUCUUGUUCACUGUUGGAGGGACAGAGUGUUCUUCAGUGGUUUUCUCCAACUUGAUUAUGUGUGGAUCCUCUGCAUGGAAGGGACAUGAGCCAAUAUGCCAAGAUCAUCCUCUAUAGCUUCCCAUUCCUUCUCAGAUUUGUCUUUGAGUCUCUUGGUUAACAGUCUAGUAAUUGUUUCCAGAUGCUGAUUUCCUCAACAGCAUCCUGCUUCAGCUCUGUCUUCAGCAGGAGGGCACUUUGCUGGGUCUCUGUGCGUCAGUUCUGGUGGAAAUCUUCCAGUGUUUAUUGCCCUGAUCAGUCCUGCUCUCUGCCUGGUGUCAUUAGCCACUUUCCGAAUGACUGGCUGCUGUCAGUUGUAAUUGCAUUACUUCUCUUUGUCUUGUGACAAUCUAUUGACCACAUGAAGUGUAAGUCACCUCACGGCAGUAGUUAAGUACUACGUUAUUUCAGUAAAUGGUUUAUUUGGCUUAUGGUUUCUAAGCAGAUUUGACAGACUUCCCAGGUGGACUCCUUUACAGUCCUCCAACAAGCUCUGGACUGACUGAUUUUCACCUAAAAUUGACUUCGUAAGCACUUCCUUUAGGUUUUUGAAGUACAAUUUCAGCAUUCAGAAGGAUAUGGAUUUCUCUCCAAAAAUGUUUUUGUCUUAAUAUCUGAUAAAACAUUAGAUUCUAACUGUUGACAUCUAGACUUGAUUAGCUACUCUUGUGAUCUUUACUAAUUACAUAUUAGUUAGCUCUUUUCAAGUGAGUUAUGUAUUGUUUUUCUUCAUCUCUAAUAACACCAAUUUCCUGACAUGUUUCCCUCAGAUUUGCUUGCUGUUAUUGAUGUUGGAGAUCAGCUUUAUUCUUAUGGCUGCAAUUACCAAUGUUUUCUGUAUCAUUAUGUGCUAGUAAAUAUAAUGCACAUUUUAAAAAUAGUGCAGAAAAAUGUUUUGAGUUCAGACAAUGUUUGUACAAACCUUAACUCUGCACCUAAGAGAACUUUUCUGGACAGGAAAAAUUGCUGCUAUAAACAGGUGCAUGUUUACUAACAAAGGGCUUUUUAAAAAAAUAUGUAUAUGAGGGUUUUCUAAACUUAAGUGGUGCUUUGCCAGUUCACAGAAACAGACAAUUCACCAUUUAAAAGCAUAUAAUAAGUUUUACAGUAUAAUCUGAUGUCUAGGGAAGAAUCUUUCUUUAGAAGACUUUUGCACGUUUUCAGUACAAUGUAGUAUUUAUAUUUUCUAAGGUAACCGCUUUGUGUUGGUUUUGGAAGUCACUAUUAGAGACGACAUUCUAAAAUCACUCAUCUUUUUUCAAUUAUACCAAUUUUUAUGUGUGCUUUGCUGAAAUUCUCUUUUCUAUUGAAUGUAGUUUGCCCAACCAGCUGAUCUCAAGGCUUGUAGUUGUAAAGGAUAAGGAAGCACUGUCAGUGCCAAUAAGCAAAUAAUAAACAUGUGUCGAGGGUUAAGAUUGCGGGGUGACAAUAAAACCCUGGCAGAUGUAUUGUUAACCCCCUCUCCCCCUCCCACACUUCCCCCUCCCUCUCCCCCCUUUUCAUUAAGGAGAGGCGAUUGGGAGGAAAAGAAGCACAGAGU